AUUGAACGCUGGCGGCAGGCCUAACACAUGCAAGUCGAGCGGAGCGGCGGACGGGGGCGUAAUGCUUAGGAAUCUGCAUGGGAGUGGGGGAUAAGGACAGGAAACGGGCGCUAAUACUGCAUCCUAACACAUGAGCAUAGGCCGGUUUAGCUAGUUGGGGGGGUAAAGGCCUACCAAGGCGACGAUCAGUAACUGGGCUGAGAGGAUGAUCAGUCACACUUGAACUUAGCGCCGGUCCAGACUCCUACGGGAGGCAGCAGUGGGGAAGAUUGCACAAUGGGCGAAAGCCUGAUCCAGCCAUGCCGCGUGUGUGAAGAAGGUCUUCGGAUUGUAAAGCACUUUAAGUUGGGAGGCGUUACCAACAGAAUAAGCACCGGCUAACUCCGUGCCAGCCGCCGCGGUAAUUC
rnacentral:rRNA from 1 species